UACACAGUGCCAGAGGCUAUGGGACGCCUUGAUGUGGCGGACUACGGUGUAUUCACCCUGUGUUU
rnacentral:tRNA from 1 species